AAAACCGUGCUGGAGCUAGUACCUCCUCAUAAAUAAGUAUGGAAUGGAGUUUCCAAUUGAAAAGAAACUUUGUGAUCCCAACAAGCUAGGUGAAGGACGGCUUUCACACA